CACUCUCAGGUCAUUGUUAAGGAGCCUGGUAGAGCCCAGCAGUGAAUACAAAGGGAGCCCAAGCUUGGAGCAGGCCCAAGGAGCCCAGCAGGGCUUCUGAAUGCAACUGAAGAGAGUCAAGCCCACGUCAUCAGCAGAUAUCUACAGCAGUCUUGGCUUCCAAGAGGUGUGAGACUUCCAGAUUUAUAUUUAUACAAUAUAGCAUUGCAUCUUCAACCUAUUACAAGCUGUAUAAAACAGUGAACUUAAUUAGACUAUGCACUUGCACUUGCUCAGGUAUUGAAUUCAUCAUUGCACAGGAUGGUUCUCUUUAGG